rnacentral:lncRNA from 1 species
GCCCUUUAGAAAUACAUUAGUCACCGAUACCAAAGACUUAUUCACUGAUACCAUAUCAUGAAUAGAAUACAUUGAAAAGAUAGAAGCAGAGAAUGAUUUCCCUUGUAUUAUCAUUAGAGUAGUGUCUUAUUUAUACAAGUAAAGUUGAUGUAUCAUAAGCUAAUUUAUGCUACAUGUAUACAAUAAUAGCUUGCAGCUUAAGUAACUACUCUAACUAACAUAUUAACAAUAUCUAGUUUGUCAUGAGCCGGCUCUAAUUGCUAUAACUGUAUUGUUGGCAUUUGUGUCUUCUUCCAUAGCUUGUGUAAUGAUGCAUCCAAACACUUUAUGUAAGUACUUUUUA